CUCUCAGGCGCAAUCCUACCUGGGAGGGAAAGAGAGGGACUGUUGCCUGGGCGCCGUCUGGCAGGAAUGGGGACCAGCCUAACGGGCCAGAAGGGUGAAGAAACUGAGGCUUGGAGAGGCUGAGCAGUUUGGGCAAGAUUGCAUUGUGGUCGGCGACGGAGCUGGAAGGAUUUCUUGGCCGGCUUCAACCUGGACCCUGCACAGCGGAUCCCCUCCGGAGCACAGGACUGGAUGCUAAUGAGGUCACCACCGAGCUCCCGGGGGGUCUCAGAGGCGAGAGCAGCUGGGAGGCUGAAGCCUGCAGGUCACAGCCUCCUCGGGAUGCCGCUUGUGCGGCCCAAGACUUGGUGUUGGAGGACAAUUGCACACAGACCUGAGUUCUUUUUCUCCUUGUCCAGUGUUCUGCAAAUCUACCCACCCCGUUUUGCAUGGUUUGCACCCAGGAAAGCUGGCCAUACUGUCCUGCACCUGUGAAUCCCCGUCUCCACUGGCCUCUCACUCGUCCAGCUGCUGCAACUCAGGGUUUAGCAUCUACAUUUUAUUUACCCCGUUGAAAUUCCAUUGCGGUGGUCUUGGUUCUUAUGUACUGGUCACAGAUGAAGGACGUCCUGAUUGAGACUGCGUUGAGCUUUGGGCCACUCACUCAAAAGAAGGCAAAAUACAGGAUUCGGGAGGCCCCUUCCCAGGUCAGCUCGGGCGGCAGGGGAGGCGUGCGUGGAUGCCAUCUGCUGGGGGCUGCCUGGUCCUGUCUUCACACUGUGCCAUCGGCUCUGAAAGCCGGGGUGGGCAGGGGUGUGUGUGUAACGAGUCCACCCCCAGGUCGACCUCAUCAACCAUCCCGCUCUGUUGCCAUUUCAAAACCCCUGGUAUAACUUUCACUGCGAUGUGGUGGCAUUUACUUUGACCAAAGCAUUACAGAGUCGCAAAUACAUCCCCUCUGGGACUUUUCUCACUGCCCCUCUGGUUCUAAAAUUCCGCAUUUUCAAACAAACUAUGAAUUGUUUCCCCUUCAGCUCCUGUCUAUCUCUUUCCCUUUGGGCUGCUUCACAUCACCUCUGACGUUAUACUAUAUCUGAUACUCUAGCUGACUCUAAGGCCACUGCCUGUCCUCUCCCACUGGAAUGGAAGCAUCAGGAGGUCAGGGGCCUCGCACGUCUCCAUUCCCUGUGUCUAGAAUAGUACCCUGGGCAUGGCACGAGCUCAACCAGUAUUUCAUGACCAAUUGCGUUAGUCCAUUCACUAAAUAUUGACUAGUGGAUGUCCCACAAUGUGUGUGGAGUCCUGUGGAGGGCAUGAAUCACAAUCAGAUGCACAGUUUAUGGACGGCUGGGUGCAGAUGCCGUGCUAUGUAUGUGUUUCACAUCCAUCAUCGUGUCGAACCAGGGAUCAGUGGGGCCGGUGGUCGGAAAGCUGGGCUCCACUGUCCAAAUGCCUGGGUUCAGUUCUGGCCCCAGCACUUGCUAGGUCUGUGACCUCAGGCAAGGUGUUCAGGCCCCCCGCCGCGUCAGUUUCCUCAUCUGUAAAUCCCUCUUAUCUGGGGAUGCCACUAGUACCUGUCUCAUUGGGAUGUUGCCCAGAUUAGAUGAGGUCAUGCCUGUAACACACUUAGAAAGGUGCCCUGCGCGGGAUACAGGCUCAGCAAAGGCAGCCGUCACUCAUCCUUACAGCAGCCCUACUAAACAGGAACCGCUAGGAUCCCCAUUUAGCAGAACAGGAAACUAAGCCAGCUUGUUAGCAGACAAAGCCAAACGAGACCCACCCUGCCCCUCAGGGGUUUGCAGUGUAGGGUAGAGGAGGAGACAGCGGUAUAAAAAACUCUGCUCUGCAUUGCACUGCGCUCAAAAAAGUCAAAUGCAGGCAAUGUACUUCAUUUUCACCACUCAGUUCCCAAUCCUUACAGAGGGACUGGCUCCAAAGCCUACACCCAGCUCACAAAACUAUAUUCCAUGACUUCCAGAAUGCCUUGGACUGAUCUGUGUCAUUUCGAGAGAAUCCCAGUUAUGCAAGGGCGCUUGGGGUGUGACCUCAGCAUCAUGUGAUGGUAAGCAUCUUACACAAGUAGCAGGAUGUUUGAAGAGUGCUCUGUGAAUGGAAAAGUCUCCAGUAAUAAUAUCACAGCCCAGGAGCAUCCCCAGUGAUGGUGUAGGGUGGGCAUACUGUUCCAAUUCGUUCACAGGCUAAGUUCAGUUAUGGGUUUCCUAGCCUCUCUAGCUAAUGUCCAUUCAUACAUAGACUGUUCCAUUUCUGCUGUAAGAGUGCUGAGCCUCGGGACUGAGACGGCCGGCAGCAGAGUUCCCACGUGCUUCUUAUUCCUUAAGCAGAGGUGAAAUGCUCCAUGCAAGGCGAGGCUGUUUGCUACAGCCUUACCUAAGAGAAGCUCCAGGCCCUGCAUAGCAGGCUGGAACCUGCCUUAGACUAAGGCCCAAGAGGGGUAGUCAUUACCCGGCCCUGGGCUUUGAAUCUUGCCGAUGGUGGUAUUUAUAUUCUUAAAACCUGGCUGAGCAGGCAGGCAUUUCACUGGGGUGGACCUCGUUUGAAGAGUUAAGUCAUCAGCUAACAGUGUCUGCAGAUGAUUUCAUGGAGACCACCCGGGAGAUGGCCAGGGGCUUGGUCUCCUCUUUAGUCCUCAAGGUCACCGAUGGCAAUGGGCGUUAAUGGGCCAAGGACUGGGUAGAGGAGGUAAGGGUUAAUAAUCGUCGUCAACGUGGAUGAGUACUUCCUGUGGGCCAUACGGUGCGCACGGCGUAUUUAUAAGACUCAUGAACAGGAAGUAUUAUCCCCGUUUUACAGAAAAGUAAAACAAGU